rnacentral:lncRNA from 1 species
AUACAUUACAUAAAACUCAAAACACAAUUUUAAAAAAAAUUGAAUAAACAGAAAAUUUUCCCUAUAAAUAGCCUUCUCAAAAUUUUCCCUAUACACAACACAACACAAUUGUGAAAACGAGAUAUAUAGAGAGAAACUAAGAAAUGGCGGACAGAGCAAAUGAGCGCGAGGCUGGCGAAGGCGAGAGCUGGGCAGGGUACACGUCCAAGGGUAAUGGGAGUUUGAUUCCUGCAAAGAAGAAGAAGGUACCAACGAUGAUGGCCGAGAAAAUAGCUCACUCUGUUUCCUCCACCAUCAAAAAGAACAAGGACAUGAAAAAGAUUAGUCCGGCUGAUGAUGCUGGUUCUGCAUAGCAAAGCUAGUAUAGUAAUAUGUCUUCCUCCAUGUUAUGUAUGUACUUGGGCUAGUUAAAUAGUUUACAUGGUGGUUUUGUAAUUAUAAAGUUUGUAUGUUAUUUGAAGAGAGGUAGAUAUGUUUGUAAGUUGUAAGUAUUUCUGUAUCCUUUAUUAUUGAUGAAUAAAAUUGUUGUUUUUUUGUAAUAUAUGGUGUAUGUUUGGUUAUAUAGUGUUUAGUGUGUUUGAAAGUACAAACACAAUUAAAAAAUUUGUUCGUCUAAAAGAAGUUUGGGAUUCAAA